UACGUAGGUGGCAAGCGUUGUCCGGAUUUACUGGGCGUAAAGAGCGCGCAGGCGGUCGGAUCAGUCGAAUGUGAAAGCCCCCGGCUCAACUGGGGAGGGUCAUUCGAUACUGUCCGACUCGAAGGCAGGAGAGGGAAGCGGAAUUCCCGGUGUAGUGGUGAAAUGCGUAGAUAUCUGGAGGAACACCGGUGGCGAAGGCGGCAUCCUGGACCGGCAUUGACGCUGAGGCGCGAAAGCCAGGGGAGCAAACGGG
rnacentral:rRNA from 1 species